CAGUCGAGGGGCAUCAGGAAGAAGCUUGCUUUCUUUGCUGGCGACCGGCGCACGGGUGAGUAACACGUAUCCAACCUGCCCUUUACUCGGGGAUAGCCUUUCGAAAGAAAGAUUAAUACCCGAUGGGAUAAUCAUUCCGCAUGGUUUGAUUAUUAAAGGAUUCCGGUAAAGGAUGGGGAUGCGUUCCAUUAGGUUGUUGGUGAGGUAACGGCCCACCAAGCCUUCGAUGGAUAGGGGUUCUGAGAGGAAGGUCCCCCACAUUGGAACUGAGACACGGUCCAAACUCCUACGGGAGGCAGCAGUGAGGAAUAUUGGUCAAUGGGCGCGAGCCUGAACCAGCCAAGUAGCGUGAAGGAUGACUGCCCUAUGGGUUGUAAACUUCUUUUAUAUUAGAAUAAAGUGCAGUAUGUAUACUGUUUUGUAUGUAUAAUAUGAAUAAGGAUCGGCUAACUCCGUGCCAGCAGCCGCGGUAAUACGGAGGAUCCGAGCGUUAUCCGGAUUUAUUGGGUUUAAAGGGAGCGUAGGUGGACUGGUAAGUCAGUUGUGAAAGUUUGC
rnacentral:rRNA from 1 species